rnacentral:ncRNA from 1 species
UUUAUAUUAUAUUACCUUGUAUAUAUUCAGAAAUAAGGUCUGAAUGUUUCUACUAAGCUGCCGUAAAUAGCUAGACUACAAGGGAAAUUUAAG